rnacentral:rRNA from 1 species
UACAGAGGUCUCAAGCGUUGUUCGGAUUCAUUGGGCGUAAAGGGUGUGUAGGUGGCGCCGUAAGUCGGGUGUGAAAUUUCGGAGCUUAACUCCGAAACUGCAUUCGAUACUGCGGUGCUUUGAGGACUGGAGAGGAGACUGGAAUUCAUGGUGUAGCAGUGAAAUGCGUAGAGAUCAUGAGGAAGACCAGUGGCGAAGGCGGGUCUCUGGACAGUUCCUGACACUGAGACGCGAAAGCGUGGGGAGCAAACAGG